rnacentral:rRNA from 1 species
GCAGGCUGCAACUCGCCUGCACGAAGUCGGAAUUGCUAGUAAUCGUAGGUCAGCAUACUACGGUGAAUACGUUCCCGGGCCUUGUACACACCGCCCGUCAAACCAUGAGAGUUGGCAACACCCGAAGUCGGUAGUCUAACCGCAAGGAGGACGCCGCCGUAGGUGGGGUUGAUGAUUAGGGUUAAGUCGUAACAAGGUAGC